UACGGAGGGUCCAAGCGUUGUCCGGAAUCACUGGGUGUAAAGGGUGCGCAGGCGGGCUUGUAAGUCAGGGGUGAAAGCCACCGGCCUAACCGGUGAACUGCCCUUGAUACUGCAAGUCUUGAGUCCUGGAGGGGCUGUCGGAAUUCGUGGUGUAGCGGUGAAAUGCGUAGAUAUCACGAGGAACACCGGAGGUGUAAACGGACAGCUGGACAGGUACUGACGCUCAGGCACGAAAGCGUGGGGAGCGAACAGG
rnacentral:rRNA from 1 species